AGGAUCCCCUCGGGGGAACUCUACCUGGCGCUGGCUGGCCUUUGCCGGGUGUAUUUCCUCCAUAGUGGUGCGCCGCGACCGGCUCUAGGUUGGCUUGGAAAGGCCCAGGGUGAAGGUGGCGCUUUACAGCACCCCUCUCCUGGACCUCGCCGCUUAGUGCUCGCUUUGCCAUCUUGCCACCAGGAUUCCCUGCUCGACUGUCGACACCGGCGGACUGUGUGUGGCGAUGUCGGCAAACCCAUCCGACCCAUCUUGAAACAUGGACCCCUCUCGUUCGCCACGCUUUGUGGGGGUAACUUUCUUUGGUGUCAUCACCAUUCAUAUCUAUACAACCAAUGUGUUUAUAAUCAAACUGUUUACAAGAGCAGAAAGUUCUUCAUACAUCAAGCCUCUUAAUUCUGCUCUCAAAGUGCACCAAAUUGAUGCAUUUAUAAAAUGCUCUUUCUAAAUUCAUGAUGUUUGCAAAGUCAAUGAGCAAUCUUGUUAAAUAACCGUGAUAUGAUUUUUGCCUUAAUCAAGCAGCCCUACCACCCACAUGCUGAUAUUGCAGGCCACUGUGAGGUCACCCGCCUGAACCAAUCGCACGACCGCAACUUGUCAGAUGGCUACAUUUAUUUUUUAUAUUAUUUUUUGCUACAUUUAAUGACAUAUUUAUUUAUUUAUCGAGUCAUUUAUUUAUUUAUCUUUGAUUUUAACUAAAGUGUGUUUGGGUUUUAAAAAGGUGACCUUUGUUUGAAUGAAAGAAGGUGGAUGAAAGGGUUAAAUUAUAAUGAAAUAUCUAUUACUUCUACGGAAAAACUGAGCUUGCUCUAUGUAUUUAUGUAUGUAUGUACGGGUAUUUUUAUUUUUUAUUUUUUUUUAGCUUUUCAUAUCAUUCUGUAGCUUCCCAAUGAUGUUCCUUAUGUAUUCAAAUCUGAACAAAAUUUGGUUGAAAUACGUAUCUUUUAGUUUCUAAAUGGUAUUUUCCCAAGUGCCUCUAAAAACUAUUUCCCACGUGACCUGACGUAGGUUUCUACAUGAUGACACUGCUACAAAUUCACUAUACAUCCAUAUAGUCAGUCUAUCUAACGUUACAUAGCUACUGUCACUUAGAUGGCGGUUGGCACACUCCCAGUUAGGAGAAGCAGACAGGAGUACCGGCACAGAAGCUAACCAAUGUACUGCUGUGUGGAUGUCAUGUU